GAUGGCAAGAAGGAACUUCAUAAGACAGUGUAAGCAGACACUAAAUGACUGCACUCAGCUUUUACUGUCGGAUAACCCUGGACACGACGACCUUCAGUCCAUGUUGACAAAGCCAGUUCCGGUUACCAGGCUCCAUUGACUUGGAGUGGAGCUAGAGGUGCUCCUCAUUAUCACAUCACCGGAGAGCAACUGAGGGGGCUGAUGAUAGAUGGCAGAUAUUCUUCACGUGUUCCAUUCUACACUCAAACCACAUCUAAGGCACUUUUGCAUUAACCUGAGGGCAGCUGCCUUCCCAGCAAUGUUGCAGAGGCUGCACAGAAGGUGGAGGAUAGUCAUCCAUGGUGGCAUUGAUGGUUACAGCUGCCUUGUGUUUCUCCACGCUUCCAGCAACAAGUGCAGCAUUACUAAAUGCUGAGGCCACACAGUCCAUCCAGGCUUAGAACAGGUGAUUGCCACCUAUUGAAUUGGAUAACCAUGGACCGGAACAGAUAAUCAAUAUUUUCCUGCAGUAGUGAAUGUAGGUUACGGCUCGACAUUAAAUUAUAACGAGAAGAAGAAGUGAAUGUAGCUUGUUUCAUAACAACAUAGGUUGAUGGAGUGAUAU